GUGGGGAAUAUUGGACAAUGGGCGAAAGCCUGAUCCAGCCAUGCCGCGUGUGUGAAGAAGGUCUUCGGAUUGUAAAGCACUUUAAGUUGGGAGGAAGGGUAGUAACCUAAUACGUUGCUACUUUGACGUUACCGACAGAAUAAGCACCGGCUAACUUCGUGCCAGCAGCCGCGGUAAUACGAAGGGUGCAAGCGUUAAUCGGAAUUACUGGGCGUAAAGCGCGCGUAGGUGGUUCAGUAAGUUGGAAGUGAAAUCCCCGGGCUCAACCUGGGAACUGCUUGCAAAACUGCUGAGCUAGAGUACGGUAGAGGGUGGUGGAAUUUCCUGUGUAGCGGUGAAAUGCGUAGAUAUAGGAAGGAACACCAGUGGCGAAGGCGACCACCUGGACUGAUACUGACACUGAGGUGCGAAAGCGUGGGGAGCAAACAGGAUUAGAUACCCGAGUAGUCC
rnacentral:rRNA from 1 species